rfam:Oceanobacillus picturae, S1, WGS project CCAX01000000 data, contig: 000003
AAAUACUAAAUUAAUAUAACCUGUAUAACCUCAGAAUAUGGCUUGAGGGUGUCUACCAGGAACCUUAAAAUCCUGAUUACAGAAAAUGAGUUAAAUCAU